GUCGUACGCUUGCUGCCCGGCUCGCCAUCGGACUCGCGGGAUUAUGGCUAGGUGACCUCGAUACGACUUGACUGACUGGACUAAGAGCUGAGCGCUUGAAGACCGACUACGACUGACUGAGGUUACCUUGAGUACGACUCAGAGCGUGACUGCAGAGUCUACCUUGUUACGACUUGGCUGACUGAGGUUACCUUGGUACGACUUCCCCGCGGUGGCUGAUACUCAAUCGGUCAAACUAAAUA
rnacentral:rRNA from 1 species